rnacentral:scRNA from 1 species
GGGCAGUGGAUGAUGUUGACGAGUUGGCUGAA